CUCACUAUUAGUCUCUCUUUCUCUCUUAAACAGAGAAUUAAGUCUCUCGGUGAACCCGGCUGUAUUCCAGGUGUAUGACUUUGGCCUUGGCUGGAAGGCGCAUAGAACUAAGCAGCCUGUGAAUGAAGUGUGAUAUCUGAGCGUCAACUACGUCUUCGGGGACACCUCUGACUUGCAGGUGUUGUUGCUGCUUUGAGUCCUCCAAGACACCUAAUCUGCUCUCCAUAG